rnacentral:rRNA from 1 species
AACGUAGGUACCGAGCGUUAUCCGGAUUUACUGGGCGUAAAGCGCGUUCAGGCGGUUUGGCAAGUCGGGCAUGAAAUCUCUCGGCUCAACCGGGAGAGGUUGUCCGAUACUUCCAGACUUGAGGGCAGUAGAGGGUGGUGGAAUUCCGGGUGUAGUGGUGAAAUGCGCAGAUAUCAGGAGGAACACCGAUGGCGAAGGCAGCUCGCUGGGACGGUACUGACGCUGAGACGCGAAAGCGUGGGGAGCGAACAGG